rnacentral:rRNA from 1 species
CGUAGGCGGCUUUAUAAGUCUGGAGUGAAAGUCCUCUUUUCAAGGGAGGAAUUGCUUUGGAAACUAUAGAGCUUGAGUGCAGGAGAGGUUAUCGGAAUUCCCGGUGUAGCGGUGAAAUGCGUAGAUAUCGGGAGGAACAUCGGUGGCGAAGGCGGGUAACUGGACUGCAACUGACGCCGAGGCGCGAAAGUGUGGGGGGCAAACA